GGCCGGCUGGCCUAAUGGUUAAGGCGUCAGUUUCCGGUGGAGCUAUUAGCUGAAGAUUCGGGGUUCGAAUCCCCGGUUGGUCG